rnacentral:rRNA from 1 species
ACGGGUGAGUAACACGUGGGAACGUACCUUUUGGUUCGGAACAACACAGGGAAACUUGUGCUAAUACCGGAUAAGCCCUUACGGGGAAAGAUUUAUCGCCGAAAGAUCGGCCCGCGUCUGAUUAGCUAGUUGGUAGGGUAACGGCCUACCAAGGCGACGAUCAGUAGCUGGUCUGAGAGGAUGAUCAGCCACAUUGGGACUGGGACACGGCCCAAACUCCUACGGGAGGCAGCAGUGGGGAAUAUUGGACAAUGGGGGCAACCCUGAUCCAGCCAUGCCGCGUGAGUGAUGAAGGCCCUAGGGUUGUAAAGCUCUUUUGUGCGGGAAGAUAAUGACGGUACCGCAAGAAUAAGCCCCGGCUAACUUCGUGCCAGCAGCCGCGGUAAUACGAAGGGGGCUAGCGUUGCUCGGAAUCACUGGGCGUAAAGGGUGCGUAGGCGGGUUUUUAAGUCAGAGGUGAAAUCCUGGAGCUCAACUCCAGAACUGCCUUUGAUACUGGGAAUCUUGAGUAUGGAAGAGGUGAGUGGAACUGCGAGUGUAGAGGUGAAAUUCGUAGA